GAUGAAGAACGCAGCGAAAUGCGAUAAGUAAUGUGAAUUGCAGAAUUCAGUGAAUCAUCGAAUCUUUGAACGCACAUUGCGCCCGCCAGUAUUCUGGCGAGCAUGCCUGUUCGAGCGUCAUUUCAACCAUCAAGCCCCAGGCUUGUGUUGGAGCCCUGCGGCUGCCGCAGCCUCCCAAAACCAGUGGCGGGCUCGCUAUCACACCGAGUGCAGUAGUUUACUCUUCGCUCAGGGCGUGUGGCGGGUGCUAGCCGUGAAACCCCCAACUUCUCAAGGUUGACCUCGGAUCAGGUAGGAAUACCCGCUGAACUUAAGCAUAUCAAUAAGCGUAGGA
rnacentral:misc_RNA from 1 species